GGCGAGUUAGCCAAGUGGUAAGGCAGAGGUCUGCAAAACCUCCAGUCGCGGCGGUGGAGUCGGCCGAACCCUGCGCCG
rnacentral:tRNA from 1 species